GAUGAACGCUAGCUACAGGCUUAACACAUGCAAGUCGAGGGACCGGCGCACGGGUGAGUAACACGUAUCCAACCUGCCCUUUACUCGGGGAUAGCCUUUCGAAAGAAAGAUUAAUACCCGAUAUAAAGGAUGGGGAUGCGUUCCUUUAGGUUGUUGGUGAGGUAAUGGCCCACCAAGCCUUCGAUGGAUAGGGGUGCGGGGAGGAAGGUCCCCCACAUUGGAACUGAGACACGGUCCAAACUCCUACGGUAGGCAGGAGUAAGGAAUAUUGGUCAAUGGGCGGUAGCCUGAACCAGCCAAGUAGCGUGAAGGAUGAAGGCUUAUGGGUCGUAAACUUCUUUUAUAUAAGAAUAUUUAUUAUAUGAAUAAGGAUCGGCUAACUCCGUGCCAGCAGCCGCGGUAAUUC
rnacentral:rRNA from 1 species